CAACAGGGCAUCAGAUGAAUGAAUAUUUUGAUAAAACCAUGUUUAACUGAAAAUAGUAGAAAAAGAUAUUUCUCUAAAAGAGCUUAGUUGGAAAGAAUGACAAAAGGCACCAAGAUAUUUCAGUGGGGUUAGAAAUAGUCUUUUUAACAAAUGAUGCUGGGACAACAGGAUAUGCACAUGUGAACAAAUGAAGCCAGACCUCUUCCUCACAAUAUACACAAAAAUUAACUAAAAGUGGAUAGUAAUCUAAAUGGAAGAGCUAAAGCUAUAAAACUCUCAGAAGAAAACAAAGAACAAAUAUGUGGGUUAGCCAAUGGAUUCUUGGCUAGGACACCAAGCUCAAGCAACAAAAGGGGAAAAAAAAGAUAAACUGGGCUUCACCAAAAUUAAAAGCUUUUGUGUUGCAAAUGACAUCAUCAGGAAAGUGAAAAGACAACCCACAGAAUGGAAGAAAAUAUCUGCAAAUCGUAUAUCUGGUAAGAGAGUCAUACUCAAUGAUAAAAUGACAAAUAUUCUAAUUAAACAGUAGACAAAGGACUUGAGCAGACCCAAGAAGACAGGCCAAUGGCCAAUGAGCUCAGACACGAAAAGAUGCUCACCACCACUUGGCCUCGAGGGAAAGCAAAGCUGGACACCCAUCCUGCUCUGCCACUUCCUGGUGGGUGGCCAAGGACAGUGAAUGAACCAGCUGGCCUCUAUUUCCUCAUUUACAGAAUGGGAGUGGAGCUGAGGAACUCUGAAGUCACUUCCAAAUCUAAAUUCUCUUUCUGUUGCUGAGACACCUGAACUUAAAGCAUUUUAAUUGUUUCUUGGCACAACUGUGGAUACUGCUUUUUGAUACUAUAGCCAAAACUCAAAAGUGAUACUUUCUUAAAGGUGACUUGCCAUGUGGAAUUGAAAACCACACCGUAUCUGUUACAUCACACCCACCACUCUUGGAUUGUGAAUGGACCUCUCACAUUUGUCAUUUCGAAAUGAUGGAGCAGAGUUACGCAGCUCUUCCCAAUAUCAACAAGUAUAAUUAUACAAUAUGAAAAAAUACUCACACUUGUGAAUAUUACCCUGAGAUCAGCAGAAAAGUCUAAGAAUUGGAAAACUAUUAAGAAAAUGUCUACCAAAUGCGCAACUUUGAACCACCACAGUACAUCUGCUAGCUCUCCUUUCCAGCAACACUGGUCUUCCAGCCGCAGCUCUGUCCCCCAGUGGCACCUUCCCUGGACACGUUGAGUCUAGAGGCAGCAUGAGUGCCCUGGAGCACUUCCUACUCCCUUUGUCAAGAUCAUUUACACAAACUGGCAUCUUCUCCUGAUUGUGUGAGGUGGUGGGUGCUGAAGAAGACAGUGAAGCCUGUGCUGCUGCCUCACCUGUGUGGAAGAGACAGCACUUUCUCUACCACGAUGUCCGCCACAUCGGUGCCAAUGUCAACAGCACAUAAGGCAAGGGCAUCUUAACAUUAUUCUAAAACAGGUUUUGAUCUCUUGGGCCCCUAAGCCCCAAGGGUUACACUUUGGAAAAUGCCUUUGGAAAGGUUUCUACACUGAAGCUCUGUGGUUCUGUGGGAAUCUGCAGGACAAUCUGCAGGAAUAAAUGAGCACUGACUGGGACGCUGCCCAUGAUGGGUUCUUCCCAGGCACAGCUCUCCAAGUUACUCGUGUGGAAAAAUUGGUAUUAAGUACCAAGGAAAUGAUCACUGACGUAUUUUUAAUAAUCAGCUUUGAGGUUAUAAUGUUUUUGCCAUUACAUAACUGAUUAAGUUUUUAA